rnacentral:rRNA from 1 species
UAGAGUUUGAUCAUGGCUCAGGAUGAACGCUAGCGACAGGCUUAACACAUGCAAGUCGAGGGGCAGCGGGGAGGUAGCAAUACUUCCGCCGGCGACCGGCGCACGGGUGAGUAACACGUAUGGAACCUGCCCGUAGCAGGGGGAUAAGCGGAAGAAAUUCCGUCUAAUACCGCGUAAUAACUCCGAGAGGCAUCUCAUGGAGUUUAAAGGGUAAUACCGGCUACGGAUGGCCAUGCGGCGCAUUAGCUAGUUGGCGGGGUAACGGCCCACCAAGGCGACGAUGCGUAGGGGUUCUGAGAGGAAGGUCCCCCACACUGGUACUGAGACACGGACCAGACUCCUACGGGAGGCAGCAGUGAGGAAUAUUGGUCAAUGGGCGCGAGCCUGAACCAGCCAAGUCGCGUGAGGGAAGACGGUCCUAUGGAUUGUAAACCUCUUUUGUCGGGGAGCAAAAGGCGCCACGUGUGGCGUUCCGAGAGUACCCGAAGAAAAAGCAUCGGCUAACUCCGUGCCAGCAGCCGCGGUAAUACGGAGGAUGCGAGCGUUAUCCGGAUUUAUUGGGUUUAAAGGGUGCGUAGGCGGACUGUCAAGUCAGCGGUAAAAUACGGGGGCUCAACCUCCGCCCGCCGUUGAAACUGACGGUCUUGAGUGGGCGAGAAGUAUGCGGAAUGCGUGGUGUAGCGGUGAAAUGCAUAGAUAUCACGCAGAACUCCGAUUGCGAAGGCAGCAUACCGGCGCCCAACUGACGCUGAAGCACGAAAGCGUGGGUAUCGAACAGGAUUAGAUACCCUGGUAGUCCACGCAGUAAACGAUGAAUACUAGCUGUCCGGGGCGAAUGAGCCCUGGGUGGCACAGCGAAAGCGUUAAGUAUUCCACCUGGGGAGUACGCCGGCAACGGU